rnacentral:tRNA from 1 species
GCCCUCGUAGCUCAAUGGAUAGAGCACCGGUCCGCUAAACUGGAGGUUCUGGGUCCGAAUCCCAGCGAGGGCA